AUUGAACGCUGGCGGCAUGCUUUACACAUGCAAGUCGAACGGCAGCACGGACUUCGGUCUGGUGGCGAGUGGCGAACGGGUGAGUAAUACAUCGGAACGUACCCAGUAAUGGGGGAUAACUAUCCGAAAGGAUAGCUAAUACCGCAUACGCCCUACGGGGGAAAGAGGGGGAUCGCAAGACCUCUUGUUAUUGGAGCGGCCGAUGGCUGAUUCGCUAGUUGGUGGGGUAAAGGCCUACCAAGGCAACGAUCAGUAGCGGGUCUUAGAGGACGAUCCGCCACACUGGAACUGAGACACGGCCCAGACUCCUACGGGAGGCAGCAGUGGGGAAUCUUGGACAAUGGGCGCAAGCCUGAUCCAGCAAUGCCGCGUGCGUGAAGAAGGCCUUCGGGUUGUAAAGCGCUUUUGUCAGGGAGCAAAUCCUUGUGGCUAAUACCCACCGGGGAUGAGAGUACCUGAAGAAUAAGGACCGGCUAACUACGUGCCAGCCGCCGCGGUAAGAC
rnacentral:rRNA from 1 species